rnacentral:rRNA from 1 species
GAUGAACGCUGGCGGCGUGCUUAACACAUGCGAGUCGAACGGAAAGGCUCCUGCUUGCAGGGGUACUCGAGUGGCGAACGGGUGAGUAACACGUGGGUGAUCUGCCCUGCACUUCGGGAUAAGCCUGGGAAACUGGGUCUAAUACCGGAUAGGACCACAUUUUGGAUGGUGUGGUGGAAAGUUUUUCGGUGUGGGAUGAGCUCGCGGCCUAUCAGCUUGUUGGUGGGGUAAUGGCCUACCAAGGCGUCGACGGGUAGCCGGCCUGAGAGGGUGUACGGCCACAUUGGGACUGAGAUACGGCCCAGACUCCUACGGGAGGCAGCAGUGGGGAAUAUUGCACAAUGGGCGCAAGCCUGAUGCAGCGACGCCGCGUGGGGGAUGACGGCCUUCGGGUGGUAAACUCCUUUCGCUAGGGACGAAGCGCAAGUGACGGUACCUGGAGAAGAAGCACCGGCUAACUACGU